UUGCCAUACUGAUUUCCAAAGUGGCUCUACAAGUUGGCACUCCCACCAGCAGUAAACAAGGAGGAUCCAAAAAGAGACAAACUUUGUCCCCUGGAGAAGAGGAUAGGGUCACCAUGCCCUGAGCAAUUUGAGAACAUGGGAAGAGGGGGGAGGGAGCUACGAGAAUGAGAAGAUUGUUGAUUCUUACAUUCCGCCGCCGCAGACUGGCCUGGAACUAGGUGAGGGAGCUCCUGCCCGCUCCCGACCCCAGACCAGGACACCCCACCACCCCCAUCCCAC
rnacentral:lncRNA from 1 species